UCGAGAAUCUUCCGCAAUGGACGCAAGUCUGACGGAGCGACGCCGCGUGCGGGAUGAAGGCCUUCGGGUUGUAAACCGCUGUCACAGGUUAAGAAAUGGUCGGACGGUAAUAUCGUACGGCUUUGACAAAGGCCUGAGAGGAAGCCACGGCUAACUUCGUGCCAGCAGCCGCGGUAAGACGAAGGUGGCAACCGUUGUUCGGAAUCACUGGGCAUAAAGCGCACGUAGGCGGGUGAGUAAGUCGGGUGUGAAAUCCCUCGGCCCAACCGAGGAACUGCGCCCGAAACUGCUCGUCUUGAGGGCAGGAGGGGAACGUGGAAUUCCUGGUGGAGCGGUGAAAUGCGUUGAUAUCAGGAGGAACACCGGCGGCGAAGGCGACGUUCUGGCCUGCUUCUGACGCUGAGGUGCGAAAGCCAGGGGAGCAAACGGGAUUAGAUACCCCCGUAGUCC
rnacentral:rRNA from 1 species